GAUGAACGCUGGCGGCGUGCCUAAUACAUGCAAGUCGAGCGAACGGACGAGAAUCUUUCUUCUCUGAUGUUAGCGGCGGACGGGUGAGUAACGCGUGGAUAACCUACCUAUAAGACUUGGAUAACUUCGGGAAACCGUAGCUAAUACCGUAUAAUAUUUUGAACCGCAUGUUUCAAAAGUGAAAUACGGGCUUGCUGUCACUUAUAGAUCUAUCCGCGCUGCAUUAGCUAGUUGGUAAGGUAACGGCUUAACAAGUCAACGAAGCAUAGCCGACCUGAGAGGAUGGUCGGCCACACUGGAACUGAGACACGGUCCAGAGUCCUACGGGAGGCAGCAGUAGGGAAACUUCAGCAAUGGGCGGAAAACAGACGAAGAAACGCCGAAUGAUGAAUGAAGGUCUUCGGAUCGUAAAACUCUGUUAUUAGGGAGGAAAACAUGUGUAAGUAACUGUACACAUCUUGAAGGUACCUAGUCAGAGAACCACGGCUAACUACGGG
rnacentral:rRNA from 1 species